UAUUUUAUAGUGUAUGACCCACAUAAACCUUUGACGUUUAAAAAUUAAGUUCGAAUCUUAUAAAAAUAU
rnacentral:tRNA from 1 species